AUUUUACUAUUUAGUAUUAGCAGAAAAAGUAUUUUAACUCAUAAAUGCUUUCAGGAUGAAUAAUAUUUGUUUAUGCUCUAUACAAUGUCUGAAGAAUAAAGAAACGCCAUACAAGUGAUUUGGCUUUUACCAAUAUAGUAUUCCAUUAGAGAAACAAAUGUUUUAGAGUAAACGCCCUACUAUUCACUCAAAUUGUGUUCACUAAGACAGUACUAUUUGGCUACUUAUAAAUGGCUAAUGAUGAAAGCAUUUUAUGAAGGUACUCAAGUGAUUGGAUAAUUAUCAAGAGUAGGUACAAUAAAGCUUAAGUGUGCGCAGAUAUUAUUGGCAAG
rnacentral:lncRNA from 1 species